AGCGAACGCUGGCGGCAGGCUUAACACAUGCAAGUCGAGCGGGCAUCUUCGGAUGUCAGCGGCAGACGGGUGAGUAACACGUGGGAACGUACCCUUCGGUUCGGAACAACUCUGGGAAACUGGAGCUAAUACCGGAUACGCCCUUAUGGGGAAAGGUUUACUGCCGAAGGAUCGGCCCGCGUCUGAUUAGCUAGUUGGUGGGGUAACGGCCUACCAAGGCGACGAUCAGUAGCUGGUCUGAGAGGAUGAUCAGCCACACUGGGACUGAGACACGGCCCAGACUCUUACGGGAGGCAGCAGUGGGGAAUAUUGGCCAAUGGGCGCAAGCCUGAUCCAGCCAUGCCGCGUGAGUGAUGAAGGCCUUAGGGUUGUAAAGCUCUUUUGUCCGGGACGAUAAUGACGGUACCGGAAGAAUAAGCCCCGGCUAACUUCGUG
rnacentral:rRNA from 1 species